AAAAAAAAAGAGAGAAGUCUAUAUAAUAGACAAAACUUGAAUCACAAUAAAAUAUAUCUUCAGAGAUUUGCGCUUGAAAUGACUUUAAUUUGGCUCAACAGCUACUAGUAAAAGAGAGGAGCCAGAAGCCUCUGCUAGCAAGUGUUUAGUGGAAUGAUAUGCUUAACUAAAUAAGUGAGUGUGGGCGGCAGCUGAGUGACCGUGACCGUGCUUUCUGCUUUUUCGUAAGCUGGUGAGAGAAGGCAAAUUGCUAUGGUAACGGUAGGAGUCGAAACUCGAAGAAGAAGGAGAAGAAAGGGUUGGGAGCAGUUAUGUGCCCUUAGGCAUGAGAAUGUUCUUCGUAGCCAAUCACAAUCCGCAACAGUGAAGUAACCCCUUUGAAGCUACAAGAGGGGCGAUUCAUGACGUGACCCUUGAUGUGUCUGCAUUUGU